UUAACUAAAAAUUUGAAUGGAGUUAGAACGCUUGCCUACAUUUGCUGCUAGGGGCGCUGUUCCAACUGCAUACUUUGAGUUA
rnacentral:pre_miRNA from 1 species